UGGGGAAUAUUGCGCAAUGGGCGAAAGCCUGACGCAGCGACGCCGUGUGAGGGAAGAAGGCUUUCGGGUCGUAAACCUCUGUCGGGAGGGAAGAACCCCCAGGAGUCGAACAGGCUCUUGGGCUGACGGUACCUCCGAAGGAAGCACCGGCUAACUCCGUGCCAGCAGCCGCGGUAAUACGGAGGGUGCGAGCGUUAAUCGGAAUCACUGGGCGUAAAGCGCACGUAGGCGGUGCCGUAAGUCGGAUGUGAAAGCCCUCGGCUCAACCGGGGGAACUGCAUUCGAUACUGCGGUGCUUGAGUGCCGGAGAGGGUGGCGGAAUUCCAGGUGUAGGAGUGAAAUCCGUAGAUAUCUGGAGGAACACCAGUGGCGAAGGCGGCCACCUGGCCGGCAACUGACGCUGAGGUGCGAAAGCGU
rnacentral:rRNA from 1 species